GCGCGAUGGGAAUGGGGCUGGAGCGAUCGGCAGAAGGGACGCCCAGGGCGGGGCCGGUGCCUCCGAGUCCUUCCUUCUCUCCCUCCCUCCUCGCAGCUCAGCUGUCUUCCCCCCCCCAGCCACUACCCUUCCCCCUCCAUCCCGCGAGUGUUUCUUUGCGGGCCCUUCUAGAACACCCUCUUGGCCCCUUAUUUGCCAAUGGACGUGUUCAGGGAUCCCCAGAUAGCGAGAUGGAUAAACAGACGUGUAGCUGGACAGACAAAUGUGUGGACGGACAGCUGGGAAGGACCGCCGCUAAAUCCUGGCUCCGACACUUACAGGCGAGACUCUGGGAAAAUCCCUUCCUAGUGACUUCACCUGCCAAGGCUCCAGGCGACGCUCGGAAAAUGUAAAUUACAGAGAAGUGUCCUUUCCUUUCUCCAUCCCAAAGACAUUACGGUCCGGGCUCCAUCCACAAGGAAACUUCCAUCUCUCUCCUUCCUCACGCAACUCAACUUCAUUUAAAUCUGGUCUUUUCUCAACAACUUGAAUCUGGCCCAUUUAGACACUAAAGCAAAAGUCACCAAAGACCAUCUUUAAAGGUUUGGUCCUCCCCCCUCCGGCCCAGUACUCUAAUCUCAAUUACUGUUGCCCAAUCUUUGCUUCCUAGGAAAUAACUUUUGUUCGUUUGACUUCCCUUCCUAUAUGUCAGUCUCUCUCUUCUUGAGCUCCAACUCCUCUUCUCAAUUCCUUAAAAUGCUCCCCAAGGUCCUGACCUUGACCUCCUUUCCCCUCUGAAUUCUUUACACACCCACAGUAAAUCUCACUAUAGAUGACUCACAAGUCUCUCUUUUUGCCUCUUUAAAUCCCCUUACAUACUCAAGACCUACAUCCCUGACGGUAAAUUUCCACCUGACCCUUCAAACUCAACACAGACUGGAGUGAAUUUUGUUUUUAAUUCUGAGUUACUGUAAAUAGCUCUUUGAGUGGGAUAGAGAUGGCACUGUGGGAGGGAUGUAUUGGGAAAUGAAAAUAACAUCAUAACAAAAAAAAUUAAUGAAAUAAAUAAAAGUGAGCUGCAGGACUGUAAAAAGAAAUUUUUUUUCAAUAAAUUUCAGUAAAUUAAGAAUUAGAAAA